CCAAUAGCGUAUAUUAAAGUUGUUGCAGUUAAAAGCUCGUAGUUGAAUUUCGGGGUUCAUACGUUGGUCGGGCUAUUUGGUCUGUACUUAUGUAAUGGAUUCCUACCUUCUGAAUAACCGGCAUGCCAUUAAUUUGGUGCGCCGGGGAAGCAGGACUGUUACCUUGAAAAAAUUAGAGUGCUUAAAGCAGGCUAUCGCCUGAAUACAUUAGCAUGGAAUAAUGAAAUAGGACGGCAUGGUUCUAUUUUGUUGGUUUCUAGGAUCACCGUAAUGAUUAAUAGGGAUAGUUGGGGGCAUUAGUAUUCAAUUGUCAGAGGUGAAAUUCUUGGAUUUAUUGAAGACUAACUUCUGCGAAAGCAUUUGCCAAGGAUGUUUUCAUUAAUCAAGAACGAAAGUUAGGGGAUCGAAGACGAUCAGAUACCGUCGUAGUCUUAACCAUAAACUAUGCCGACUAGGGAUCGGACGAUGUUAAUUUUUUAAUGACUCGUUCGGCGCCUUACG
rnacentral:misc_RNA from 1 species